rnacentral:rRNA from 1 species
AACGUAGGUGGCAAGCGUUAUCCGGAAUUACUGGGCGUAAAGCGUGCGCAGGCGGUUAUGUAAGACAGUUGUGAAAUCCCCGGGCUCAACCUGGGAACUGCAUCUGUGACUGCAUAGCUAGAGUACGGUAGAGGGGGAUGGAAUUCCGCGUGUAGCAGUGAAAUGCGUAGAUAUGCGGAGGAACACCGAUGGCGAAGGCAAUCCCCUGGACCUGUACUGACGCUCAUGCACGAAAAGCGUGGGGAGCAAACAGGG